GUGUGAGGUUGGAUGAAGGAUCCUUAGUACCAAAAAUUUUCAGAAAUGAUGAAUUAUAUACUCACUAUUAACUGUGUAGUGUAGUGCUCACAUAAUAUGUCAUUUGUGGAACAGCUGGGAGAGAUAUCACAGUUUUCAGCCUGUUUGCUCCAGAAAAAAUUAAUGAGACGAUGUGAAUAGAUUUAAGCAGCAUGUUGAAAUACUGGUUGGGAGAUUGUGACGGCAUCACCAUUACCAGGUAGCAAAGAUAAAGAUGAGUGUAGUGAAAGAAUGAUAAAGCAAACUGAGAACGUAAAGAACAUUUUAAAAAAGAAAGAAAAAAGUAUAAAAUUCUGUAAGUGUCCACCAGAUGGCGUCUAAGCCGUUGGAACCAUUUUCUGGGCGUUUUGAUGAAACCUGUAAAUUUGGAAAUAAGUUUAAGGAAGAAUGAAAAUUACCUUUUAUUGUUCUAUUUCCUAGAACUCCAAACAGCCUAGUGGAUUACUGAAUAGUUUGAUGAGAAUUAAAAUGAUCAUAUGCUAUUUACUUCACAGUCUAACACAAUUAAAUGUUUAGGGAAGUUUCAGAGCAGAAGUAUUUUAUGUGACACAUGUUUUCGUUUGCUUAGGAAUCCCUUCCACAGUCCCACUAAGGAAUGUGUCUGUUUGCACAGGUAUGUUGGCUGAGAACCAGUAUUGGAGCCUAGGAAGAUUCCUGCAACUCCAUCCUGUACCUGCCAGGGUCUUACAACACAGCAGAAAGAGUUAUCUACCACCAUCAAUAAAAUAUAUAUCAACUGAGAGAAUAUCUUUUGCAGUUCUAGAGACCUCCGGAGUUCUGGAGAAUGCCACUGAUGCAUUAUAGUUCUGGCAGUUUAUAUUCACCCAACACCAUAUUAUGACACUUCCUUUGUUUUUUGUUUUGUUUAAUUUGUGCAUACUAUCUAUACACACAAAACCUGAACUAAUAAUUAAACCCUUCAUGAGCAGAA